rnacentral:rRNA from 1 species
AACGAGGUAGCAAUACCUAGUGGCGGACGGGUGAGGAAUACGUAGGGAUCUGCCUUUAAGUGGGGGAUAACCCGGGGAAACCCGGAUUAAUACCGCAUGAUCUCGCAAGAGCAAAGUGGGGGAUCGCAAGACCUCACGCUUUUAGAGGAACCUACGUCGGAUUAGCUUGUUGGUGAGGUAACGGCUCACCAAGGCGACGAUCCGUAACUGGUCUGAGAGGAUGAUCAGUCACACCGGAACUGAGACACGGUCCGGACUCCUACGGGAGGCAGCAGUGGGGAAUAUUGGACAAUGGGCGAAAGCCUGAUCCAGCAAUACCGCGUGUGUGAAGAAGGCCUUCGGGUUGUAAAGCACUUUAAGUUGGGAAGAAAAAACUUCAAUUAAUACUUGAAGUCUUGACGGUACCGACAGAAUAAGCACCGGCUAACUCUGUGCCAGCAGCCGCGGUAAUACAGAGGGUGCUAGCGUUAAUCGGAUUUACUGGGCGUAAAGCGUGCGUAGGCGGUUUGAUAAGUCGAUUGUGAAAGCCCUGGGCUCAACCUAGGAAUUGCGGUCGAUACUGUCAGACUAGAAAACGGUAGAGGGAGGCGGAACUCCAGGUGUAGCGGUGAAAUGCGUAGAUAUCUGGAAGAACACCGAUGGCGAAGGCAACCUCCUGGGCCUGUUUUGACGCUGAGGCACGAAAGCGUGGGUAGCAAACAGGAUUAGAUACCCUGGUAGUCCACGCCGUAAACGAUGAGAACUUGACGUUGGUUUGCUUAGCAAAUCGGUGUCGUAGCUAACGCGAUAAGUUCUCCGCCUGGGGAGUACGGCCGCAAGGUUGAAACUC